GGGCCCGCACAAGCAGUGGAGCAUGUGGUUUAAUUCGAUGCAACGCGAAGAACCUUACCAGGCCUUGACAUCCUCGGAACAAUCUAGAGAUAGAUUGGUGCCUUCGGGAACCGAGUGACAGGUGCUGCAUGGCUGUCGUCAGCUCGUGUCGUGAGAUGUUGGGUUAAGUCCCGCAACGAGCGCAACCCACGUCUUUAGUUGCCAGCAUUUAGUUGGGCACUCUAGAGAGACCGCCGGUGAUAAACCGGAGGAAGGUGUGGAUGACGUCAAGUCAUCAUGCCCCUUAUGUCCAGGGCUGCAAACAUGCUACAAUGGCUGGUACAACGGGCAGCGACACCGCGAGGUGAAGCGAAUCCCUUAAAGCCAGUCUCAGUUCGGAUUGAAGUCUGCAACUCGACUUCAUGAAGCCGGAGUCGCUAGUAA
rnacentral:rRNA from 1 species